CCUUAAGUGUGGAAAACAAUACAGCUCUUAUUUUUAAACAAAUAGAAAUUAAGAAGUUAUAUACUCUUUUAUGAGGGCCCAUGUACUUGAUGAUGCAUACUAAAAAUGGAGGGACUAGUUAUGUGCCCUUUGAAAUGUGAGGAACUUGAUACAAGUCAUACACUUUUAGAAUUUUUGGGACUCAGGAGUCGUAUACUUUCUGAAAAAAAAUAGGGAGUCUUGUUCUUGAAAACUUGAAUCUUAAUGAAAUUUUAUGGACUUGAUAAUUGUUGUGAAAUGUCUAAAUAUUAACUUUACGCUUCAUGUAUUUUAUAACUAUAAGCUACUAAAUGUAACUUAUUGCCCUAUAUAUUGCACAAGACAAUCAAACCGAUUAAAAGAGUCACCAUCUAUAACCCUAAAAAUACUAUGAACGAAAAGCAAUGUAGUUAGUUCUAAAUCCUUAGUUAUAAAGGCGCAAGUGUGAAGCUGGAGGUAGUUCUGUCCAAUUAAAAACUUAACACUGCUCGCGCUGGUCAUCAAGUGUAUUUACAAGCCAAAAAGUUGGGAUUUCUCCGGAUAAAACACAAAAUUUGAGGCUAUCUUCGUUUAGAAAACACAUUUCCAUCACUUGUUACGUUCACUGUCGACACGUGUAAUUGUCGGCCAGGCCAUGCGAAACCCUGCUUGCGUGUUCGCAUAGCCUGUGACAAAUGCAAUGAUUGUUUGGUUUUUUUUUUUUUUUUUUUUUAAAGUCAGCUAAGCUACAAGCUAGCAGCUAGCACCCCAUUGCCGCCGUGCAGUAGACUUGAAGUGUGCGCGGCCGCCAUUAGCCCACGCCGCAGCUACGGGCAGGAUUGCGAAUACACCCUUUUUUUAGUGCACACUUUUCACGUUUUGUUCGCGCUCGGCGGAGAAAACGGAAUAUUCCUCGUCGUCGAACGAACGGCGCCCGUGUUUUUGCUUUGAUGGUGUUUUGUGGUAAAUGUGUGGCGAAGGGGAAAACACUGCGAACGGAAAUUUAGUCCCCCUCAAAAAAAUCAAAGAUGGAGACUGUUUCUUUCUUCCAGACCUUCAAAGACGACAGAAUGGCAACAUGGCGACCUACGGAGAAACACACAUGGCGUCCAUACAGCCAUCAUUCAUGGACUUUAAGAAACGUGGGCAUACCAUUCGAGAAAGUCUGCUCACUUGCUGAAUCGUCUCAAAGCAUCUUGGCAGUAUCAGCGCAAGUAUAUGUGGAAUCCGUCGACGAUUGCGAGAUAGAGAACUUCUCAAGAGGAAAAGAGCCGAAGCGGAGCAGAAGGAAACUUGCCAGUGGGUUUUGGGAUUGGAGAGCCUGGGGAAAAGACAGAAGUACGACCAGAGGAGAAGCACAAAGAGGAGGGGGAGGCCCAGGAAGACGGAUUGCACUGCAGAAAGCUCCCAGGUUGGGGAUUCCCAAGGUCCUGUUGUUUUGGUUCUUCCACAACCAGCGUUAGGAGUGGACUCUCUACCCACUGUGGCCAGCGGCAGUCUGGAAACCGUCUCGACGUGGUCGCCCAACCCCGUCCUUACUCCACUUCCAAACGUAGCGGUCGUUUCACCUCCAGAUCUUGUCCCGCCACCCAUCACAGCUCCUCCAGAUGUCUUUCCCACUGCAGUUCUUCCAGAUCUGGCCCAAGAUCCGGCCACCGUUUCAGCUCAAACGUCAUCUACAGAUCUUGCUCAACCUCCCAGCGCUGUUCUUCCAGAUCGGUCCACCGCUCCAGAUCAGGCUUUAGCUUCAGAUUCAGUUCCUCUCACUCCCGUCCAGGAUCUGUCUACAGCUUCGGCUCAGUCUUCUUCUCUCGAUCCAGAUCUCGUUGCAUCUCUCACCACAGUUCCUCUAGCUUCUGCCCAAGCACCAGUUCAAUAUUCAGCUCCAGAUCUUGUUCCAGCUUCAGAUGUUCUUAUUCCCACUCCAUCUCAAGCCACAGUUGCAGAGGUAGUUGAAGCUCCAACUGGUGCCCCUCAACGGGUGGAGAACCUGUCCACAGAGUCACAAGGCAAGGAGAACCUUGACCUGGUCCUUAUUGAGGCCCUGGGCCCGGACCAGCUGGAAAAUGAUGUACCACCAACUCAGGACGAAAAAGCUGAUGAAGGUGAUUGAAUUUGUGGAUGAGAAUACAGCUAAAGAUAGUUUCCCUCAAUUGCCUGUUUUGUUUUCCAGAUGUGAGCCAAAAGCUGUCAAAUUAUGAGGCAGAAUAAAAUAAGAUAUUCACAAUUCCGACCUUGUCUUUGCUGCCCCAAGACUACCUCCCAGGAAAUUGAUUCUGAUUCCCUUUAACUACUUUUCCGACACUGACUCAUAACAAGAGGCGCAGUCUUGUUUUAUUGUCUUGUUAUUUACUUCAGUAUUAUUUUGGUCCAAAAUGUGGUGGCGGCUGUUGUGCCAGAACAAAAACAAACUAAUCAUUCCCUCUAAUACAAACAAUGUGUUUCUUGUCAUUGUGAAGUAUUCUUUUAAAAAUGUUAUGCUUCUCAAGCAUUGUAAAUGAGGAAUUAUUUUGUUAGCUCUGUAAAAACUAUUUCACCCAAUAAAAUAUAUUGCGCACGUCUGCA